AUUAAGGAUCCGAUAUUGCCAGAGCUGUGGCACAGGUAACAAGUGCAGCUUGGAUUUGAUUCCUGGCCCAGGAACUUUUAUACUCCUUGAGUGCAGCCAUUAAAAAAAUUAAUUAUUUAUAAAUAGCCUCUAGUUUUUCCCCAGCCAUAAUUUACUCAAAAGCUUCUUGCAUCUUUCAUUUGAUUUUUGUUCUCUUCUUUUAUAACUUUCAUAUUUCUUCUUUAUUUUUAAGGUAAAAAUGGAAAGUUGUAGAAGGAAUGAAUAUCACGUACCUAUGGAAGACAUUUUAAAUGCAUAAAAAAUUAAAAUGCAUAGGAUUAAAAGUAUACUAAACUUUUUUCUUGUAAAUAUCUGUAAGAAAGGAACUCAUGGGAGUUCCAGUUGGGGCUCAGCGGGUUGAGAAUCCGACUAGUCUUCAUGAGAAUGUGGCUUCCAUCCCUGGCCUUGCUCAGUGGGUUAAAGGGUCUGGUGGUGCUGGAAGCUGUGGUGUAGGCCACAGACACAGCUCAGAUCUGGUGUUGCUGUGGUUGUGGUGUAGGCUGGCAUCUGCAGGAUUCAACCCCUAGCCUGGUAACUUCCCUAUGCCUAAGGUGUGGCCCUAAAAAAGAAAAGGAAAAAAGAAGGAAAAGAAAUAAACUCAUGGACAAAGUGAUAAAUUUGUCACUAGAGAGUCAAAUAUACAAGUUGCCAUUAGAAUUUUUAUGACUGCCUUAAAUUUUUAAAGAUUAGAUUGAUGGUACAAGUAAGACUUUCUAUUUAGGUUAAUACUACCAUUAAAAUGCUAGAGUAGUCAGAUAGCUCUUUCAUUUUUCUCUGUAUAUCUAAUAACAUAAAGAUAGAUUAACAGAGUUAAAAGUACACCAUUUGUCAGGAAACCUACAUUCUAGUUCUGUAUUAUUAUCUGUGAUUUGCAGGUAAGGAAAAGUUAAACAGCUAGCAAGUGGCAGAGCUAAUGUCCAAAUUCAUGAUGCAAGUAACAGAAGAUGCAAAAGGGCUCGCGAUUUAAAAACAAAUUGAGAAAUUCCCUGAUGGUCGGCAGGUUAAGGAUCUGGAGUUGUCCUCUGCUGUGGCUCGGGUCACUGCUGAGGCACGGUUUUGACCCCUGGCCUGGGAACUCCCAUAUGCUGCAGGCACAGCCAAAAACAGUUUCACAAUAUUCAUAAAUUUAGGCUUGAAAUCUUUUGACUCAUCCGUGGUGGAUCAGAGGGCAGGCGACUUUUAAUCAUUCUCUGAAUAAUGUUUACUUCCUUAGCUAAUAAAAGGAUCAAGUUUAAGCCGAAGAGUAUCAAUAUUGCUUGACCAAUAAUUCCAAGUGAUGGGAAUAAUUCUGAAUUUAGAGAUUAGUGUCUAAUAAAAAUAAGACAAUAAAUAAAGAUUCUUUACACAUAACUUUAUAUUUUAAAAUAACUUCUCACCAAUAUAAAUUUGUGUAUCUUCAUGGAGAAACAUUUCAUGGAAAGUCUGCUCAUUCAAAGUUAACCUUUUCUCAUAAGUCAACAUUUUCAUGUGAUUUUUAUUAAUAUCUGGAGGAAAAGUUCCUUAGUAAGUUUUGUUCUAUAGAAUUAACAGUGCAAUAUCGAAUAUGACAUGGAAUAUUGGAGUAGUAUUAGACUGAAAAAAUAUGCAACUGUGAUUAGAGUAAACUUCAGUUGUUUUCAGGGUAAAAAUUGUUCUACAUUGUUUUGCCUUCCUGCAAUGGAAAUAAGAUGUGUGAGUGUGCCUACAUGCACAUGGUCGUGCAAACGUGUGCGCAGGUGUUGGGCCGUUGUGACUGAGCAGGGUGGAACAGGGUGUGUGUACUGAUCUUGGUCUUUAGAAAAAGAGAAAAUGUUCCAUUUUAUUCGAUUACUUAUAUAUUGAAACUUAGCACAUUCAGAUAAAAAAACUAAGACCAAUAGAAAUCAAGCAGCUCAUUUAAGUCACGUGGCUGGUAAGUGGCAGAGUCCCAUUCUAAUUCAAGUCUGUCUUUCUCGCAAACCAUAGAAGCAUAAGUGUAUGCAUUCAUGUAAUGUGUUAAUGUAUAUCUGUGUACAUGUUUUGGAAGUCAAUACAGUAUUUGCAUUUGCUUCCCCAGAGUUUUUCUUUAGUAUUCCCUCCCCUUUCAAUACAAGUCUUGCUUAAACAUGCUUAAGAGGCAGUAUUUUUUUUUUUAUCAGCAUCUACCUCACUCAGGGAGAAGUAGCAGCACAUUCUUCUACGUUAAAUAAACAGAAAUGCUUAAUUGUGGAUUGGUAGCUCCCAUUUAGGUUAAUAGAGUUAAGAAAAUUUAAGUAGAAGGGUAACAGUUUCUCUUGGUGGUGUUGGAAGGGUUGCACUAGGAUUCAAGUUUUCUAAACAGCAAAAAUUUCAAAGUCAUGAGAAAGAUUUGUUUAACUGCUGAGAAUUCGUAAACACGAUUAUACUUUUUAAAGUUAAAAAUAAGAUCUUUUUAGAUUUCUGGUUGUUAUUUCUUGACACUGCUCGAAGGCAAUAAAACGAAGCUGCCUUCUUACGAUACCUUGUCCUCACCAUCUCAGCUGCUCUCAAGGAGAUCAGAGGAUGCAGAACUUGGCCUUUCACAAUCGCAAGUCAGGAUUUUUGAUUAAGGAUGCUUUUUUGUUGAGAGAUAUUACUUUAAUAUCUUACUUUUUACCGCUUCUGUAGAAUGAGUCAGAGAGUACAGCAUAAAUCAACUACUAUCCAUCAUUAGGAAUAGGUGCUUUUCUGAAGCCCACACUUCCAUAUCCGAAUGACUGUAAACCAAUCAGUUAAUUCCCACCUAAUGGUAAUGAGGUCACUCUCACACAUCACCGUGUGGUUAUUAACCAACUUUCAUUCUACCCUGUUACCACGGAUAAAGAUAAUUUCUCAGGAUUCCAGUACUAUUUUCAUCACCUUGCCAUAGGUCUCAGAAAAAUUGAUUUCGGGCUGUUUAAUUAGGAAAAGCAAUAAGGAAACGGAUUUCACAGUUUGAUAUCUGAAUUAUAGUUAAAUAGAAAGUUACCCUCCAGUCAAAGGACCACCUUUAGAAGUAUUUCAUUAUUUAUGUUUCAGGAUGAGCUGUUAGAACAAGAUAUAUGAUAGCUUUGCCACCAUUUUAUAGCUCUCUUCUUACAAAGGCUGGAAUAUAAUUCAGCUAAAGUAAAUACUAAAUUGAUAAAUUCUUUCAAAAGAUCUUAGAUGCCAACUAGUUCUAGAAGCAAAAGGGGGAGUUUUGAAGGCAUCUCUAUUUAUAAAUUAUAUUGAAAUUUUCUGGAUAUCAGAUUUCUAUUAAAAGUUUCUGGGGUAUAUGCAAAAAAUCCUACCAGUAAAUUUUAUAAUAAUAGAAUAUUUCAAUAUCUAAAUUUUACUCUUCACUUGAUCUGCAAUAAAUUUUUGAGAAGGAUUAAAGUAUCCCCUGAUUAUUUUCAACCCCCAGAAAAUUUGCCUGAUUUAUUUUUUAAUUCAUUUAACACAUAUUUGUGAAUUUGUAUGAUAAAUACUAUUCUGAGUACUGAGACUAGUAAAUCAAACUGACAAACUCCUUGCCCCCCAAUAAUCUUAUGUUCUAGACACCAUAAGAUAUAUAAUUACAGGUAUUAUAUGUAUAAAUAAUGUUUAAUAAACAAAUGUAAAGCAUGCCAGGCAGUAGGAGCCGUAAGAAAGGUAUAGCAAUAUAAAAUAAAUAUUUUAUAAAAUAAAGGUAUAGCAAUAUAAACAAGGACCUACACAAGGGAACUAUACUCAAUUGUUUGUAAUAAACUAUGGGAGAAAAGAAUCUUUUUAAAAAAUGGGUAUAUAUGUAUGUGUCACUAAAUCACGUUGCUGUACACCUGAAACCAACACAACAUUGUAAAUCAACUCUACUUCAAUAAAACGAGAAAAUGAUAUAGCAGAGUGAGAGCACCAGCAAAGAGUGGCUUGAGCGGGGUACUAUUUCAUGUAGGACUAUGAAGACACACCUCUCUGAGGUGAAUUGUGAGCCAAAGCCUAAGGGAGGGAGCUGAGUAAUGAGCUGUUCCAGCAGAGGAAACCACAGAUGGACAGGUUCAGAUGUGAGAAUAUAUGUGGCCAGUUGGAAAAACUGCAGGGAUACCUGUUUGGGGGCAGACGAGUCAGAGAUGAGGGCACAUGUAGAGAGUCCUCAUUGGCUAAGUCCCUGAUGAUCUGUUUAUUCACAGCAUUAGAGCUUAGGGUUCAGGAUGUGGGAUAUUUGUUGACUCACAGAGCCAAGAACACAAAUCACCUGUCCCACGAGUUAUGGGUUUAGUAGCUUAGGGUAUCCCAUUGCUGCAGAAGAUUUGUGCUUAUCUUUCAGAAGACAUCUCACUAAAAGUAUAACAUUAUACAUGAUUACAUAGUUAGUAAAUGGAGAGCUGGUAGCCUCACCUGUGUUCUGGAACUUCUCCCAAUUCACCACAUUGUCGCUGCAGUGAAGCCAGUCUGCUACAUCCAUUCCUGUACCCCAAAUCAGAAACACAUGAGCGACCAAUGAAGUGUCUCCCAUCUGUAAGUUUGUUCAUAUGAGAUAUAAAAUAUCCAAAUUGUGUAUUUACACACAGACUAACAGUGACAUGAAAUGAUGACUGCCGCAGAAAUGCUAGCCACAUGACUGGAAUCUCAGAGGCUGUACAUGAUUCAGCCUUUUAAAUCUGCUGGACAGAUAGUAUUUUGAAUUUAUAGAAUUGAAAAACUAGGAAUUUAAUUUCCCACGGACUGAAGACUUAGGAACACUAUUUAGGCUGAAAGAACUUUUCAGGGAUGGUGCUGGUGUGUUGUUAGCUGGUAUGAAUUCACCAGAAAAAAAAAAAAUGAUAAGGAGAAAGUUUUUAGAGUGACAAAUUGGUCAGCCUUGUUUUGGGAAUAUUAUUUCUUCCCUUCCCCAACUUUCCCACUUUAUUUAUAAAUUGAAGGUGUUACAGAACAUUCUCUAAGUCUUAAGGCUCCUUGUGGAAAGUUCCGCAAUUCCAUAAAUCCAUCCCUUUCUUGCCCCUUUUAUUUCUGUCUUUCCUCUAGCCUGGGAAGCCCAGGAGCCUCGUAGUUCGGCGACCAUAUUUCUUCCACCGGGUCUAAAGUGGAGCUCAUGCUUCUGCUGAGCCAGUGAGUGAGCUCAGACAUCUCGUGUGCACUUGGCCCUGACGUUCUGCCAGUUGAAAUGGUAUUUUCAGGGAUGACUUCACAAUAAAGGACAUAGAUACUCAGCCAUGCUUGUCAUUAGUUCCAGCCCCUAACGGGCAGCAUUUCCAAGAGAUAAAUAACAACCCUUGGUCAUGUCAAAGUUCCGAGCUGGCCCUGAGAACAAGGACUGUUUAUUAGAUCUUAGGCCGUUCAAGGUCUUAGCUUUAUGUUGACUUUGUUUUGCUGGUACAGCAGUAGUGCAGGUGGCCAGGUGUCAUCCACUUUGUGUGAAGCCUGUCACCGUCACUCCUGAGGACUGCAGCUAACAUCUAGCAAUGGUGAAGCUCUUUUCAUUUUGGAAAGUGAUUUUCUUGGUGUUGUCUCAUGUAACCCUGGCAAGCUGUUAGUGUUACAUUCCUAGCCCGAUAUAAUCAGACGUUGUGUGUCCAUGGUAUAUGCAAGAAAGUGAGAGCCAGUAAGCUGAAGACACGCUAGGUUCUUCAGACACUUAAUCUACUCUUUUCUGCUCUAAACACCAAAAAAAUCUAAAUCUGAAAUGUUGGAACCAAACAUGACUAGAGUACAUGGGAAAAAAAUUCUGUGAAAUUAAGCCUAUCCCAAAAUAAGUUCUUCGUUAACCACAUGAGUUGUGGGAAAUGUAGAAUAAAUAGAACAGAGACAUUGGCACACGCCCUUCUUAAAUUAGUCAUUCAUUCAUGUAACAUUCCAGAAACAGUGUUAAGUGCCCACAGCACAAAGCGCUACCCUGAGCUUUGAGGAGCUAGGGAGACAACCCUCACAUUGAUGAAACAAGAGCAAGGCAACAGGGACGCAGGGAUACGUUAGUUGGUCCUCAGACCCCUGAAUUCACAUCCGAUGAGCAAUGCCUGCACGUGGUGUUUUACUCAAUUGAUGUUCCUUUACUAUUCAUUGAAGCCAUUUUAUUAUACAUACUAGUGGUCCUACCACUUCAUCUUGGAAUGCUUCACUUCUUCAAUAACAGGAUACCAGGAAAUGGUGCCCGGUGGUAAUAUGAUCUCUUUGCUUCUCCUCCCCCGUCGCUACAGUAGCACUUGCCUGAAAGUGAAUAAAUGCUUUAUGCAACUAAGCUGUGUUCACGCAGAGGGAGUUCAGUAGAGGAACAGAGUGAUUCAUGAAGGCAUUAAAAUCUAAUGGUAUCCGGUCAGUUGCGGCUCCCCACAUUGGUUUUGCCUCUAUGGAAAGCAUGGGCCUAAGCAGCAAUGUCAUGGAAAAGAAGGGAUUAACCAGCAAUGGGAAAGGGUGGCAUCCAGACUGAAGGGAGACCCACGUAGAAGCAGCCGUGGGUGUGGCGCCUUGAGAACCUGAGAGGACCUGGAAGAGUUUCCUUUACCUGGAGAGAGUGAAAGGUGUGCAGCUGAAAAUAAAACAAAUGAAUCUAGAGAAAUCUGGAGAGACCAGAAGUUGAAGAGUCUUUUGCACCAAAAAGAAUGAGUCUCAGGUACCCACGAGCAGUUCAGAGCCUCUGCAACGUCUCGCUUCGAGACCUUAGGGAAAGCCUGUCACAUGGUACUAAAGGCCUUUAUGGUCAUUAAAUUGGGACCUCCUGCCAUCAGGGGAAAAAAGUGAGGGGUGGAGAUCCGACACCUCCCUCAUCACACGCACACACAAUGCUCCACCGUGAGUUACGAAGGACUAUUCAUUCCUUUGGACAUCCCUUUGAGAGUUAUUUCAUCAACUUUUUUUCCCCAUUUUUAAGGUGUUAUUCAAGUAUCGCUGAUUACAGGGUGUGACAAUUUCUGCUGCACAACAGAGUGAUGCAGCCAUACAUGUACACACACCCGUUCACUUUCAGAUUCUUUCCCCACAUAGAUUAUCACAGAGCAGUGGGCAGAGUUCUCUGUGCCAUAUCAACUUCAUCAACUUUUGACGUCAGCGCCUUCAAGAGAUUUACUUAAAGAAUGUUCCAUUACGAAGCAAAGAUAGAAAUGGUGAUAGAGGCAGAUAAAAAUCAAAGAACUCGAUAAGCACCAGCAUGUUUUAGUAAAGAGUCAGCUGCUUAAAUUCACGAUGAACUCCGCAACCUGACCGCUGAAAUAGUCUCUCUUUACACCUAGGAAGUACCCAAGUCCUCUGGUUUUCUUUCUCUUCCGAUACUUAAUAUGAGAUUUAGAUCUGAGUAUCUCCACAGGCCCAAGCUAAUAGCAAGGCUUGUGGUGGCCAGUGAAGCUUCAGGACCAGCCCUGCAUAUGCCGGAACUUUCCAGAAGGUGGGUUCCUUUAUAUAUCGGUGCAUGGACAGUUUUCAUGGACAGAUUCUCCCAGCUCCUGGUACCCUGGAGGCCUAGAUCUCCAUGUCAUUUAAAGGCCUACGCCUGCUCACGAGGCCGUUUUGCAGUGUCAGGAAGUAGAAUGGAUAAUGACCUUCUGGUUGACCUCCCUGACUCAGUCUCUUCACCACCCUGUCAAAGUAGCACACCGAGGUUUUCAGGCUUGGUGUUUAAAAAAUUUCAGGCAUUCUCCCUGGAGGGAGAGCAUCAUUCUCCCUGAUGUUAACAGGGCAGUGCUUCCUGAUAAGCAGAGUGCCCUUAAACAGCCUUUAAUAUUUAAUGAUGGUAUCACAGGGGUAUUGCCUGAGAGUGAACAAUAAAUUAUCCAAACACCCAGAAGCUCGUAUCAGAUGAAUCAGAACCAUUGAUUUUCUUUUUCAACAUGAGCUUGCCUUGGGAAGUAUUUUAAUACGGCAGAAGCAGGGCCAAGAAGCUGAGAUUUAGAAUGAAUGAGGCGUGGAAGAUGAAUUGCAGGACCAGGUGCUAUUUAUGGAGAAUAUAAAAAGUGUGUAGAGAGGUGGGGGGAAGCAGGGCGAUUUGCUGAAAUAUGGGACCCCACGAGGGCACGUUGAUACAGGAUCCAGAGAAAACACGGACGAUGCCAAGGGGGAACUGCAAUUUACAGAGAUCCUCUCUCCCGAGACCAGACAUUAAGUACACGUGAGAUUUUUGCGACAUCUCUUCAUUACGGUUUAAUAAUAAACUUGUCAGCCCCCUUAGCCAGGACAGCUCUUCACCCAUUUAUUGCAGGAUCCAUUAUGGCAGAAUCCCCCGCAUAAUAAUCUGGAAGGACCAGACUGGAGGCUUUUAUUGCAGGUGUCUCUGCAAAACCCAGAAUAGAUAACUUCACUCUGAAUGAAGCAGCAAUUACUGAAGGCAAGUGGGCAUUAAAUAUAACUGGAGUUCCCGCGGACAGGACAGCCAUCGCGUGAUGAAUGAUUAGGAGUGGGUUUGAUAUUGUUUCCUAGGUGCGCUACAGAAUAAUUUGUCAGUCACCAGUGGAAUGAAGGUGGGCACCAUGGAAGGCAGUGGUGUGCAUCCAUCCUAUCUUUUCAUUUGUUAUUAAAAUGAAUCAUGAGGACCACUCUUCCUACCCGUCAUAGUGUGUGAGCAAGUCACUUAUUACUACCAUUAAAUCUUUCCUUGCUGGUUGGAAUAUGAUGCUUUGGAAAGGAUGCAUUAUGUUUAAUAUUGUUUUGCUCAGACCCAUUUGUCAGUAUUUACUGUCUAUUUUAUUCUUCUAUAUUUUCUAAGUUCCUUAUAAGAAUAUGUAUUAUUCUGCAUGCACACAUAUACACUCAAAUACAACUCGCUGGCACCUCCCUAGAUCAGGUGAUUCCCUUUUGUGGAUGGUAAAACCAGGACACAAAAGGGAAAGAACUGCCCUAGGCCAGGUACUGUUUGAACAAUAUAACAAAAACAAGAACGUCAAAAUCAGAAGUAAAACUGACAAUCUGUCUUGUCAUUCAGCUAGCUUCUGCUGGUGACAAUAUUUUUUCCAUUGUUUAUUUUGUGUACUUUUGCAGAAUUUACUUCUUGGUAACUGUCCCCUUCCCAUGAAAGAAAAGGCCUCGUGUGAAAUUGAACCAGAAAAUAGCAAUUGCUAUGCUAUGGGGGAGAAGGGAAGUGCAUGACAUAUUUCAUUGUGCAUAUUUCUUUGCUCAGAGUGUAGAUUUUGCAGAUAUUAAUCUUAUCCUUCAGCAUUCCUUAUUUCUAUGCUGGACCUUCUCUGGCCCAGCAAUCACUAGCUCUGUCUGAUGUCUCCCACUGUUGCCUUGUAGAUCCAUGCCAGCCACAUGGAAACAAAAGUAUGGUGCAAGGCACAGGUCUGUGCGCUGCUUGGAGAUGUUGCCAAUGUGUCCUGGUUAGUUAAGGAAGGAAAAAAAAAA